UUUGGAAAAAGAAAUGCUCCUGCUAUGCAGUAGCAUUUGUAAAACAGGGUAUUUUUAGCCUCCAGUCUCAGGGCACAUGGGCAGCAGCCGUAGCACCGAGCGCUAUGUGGUAAGAGCUCCAGGGAAGCUGCUAGGGGAGGCCAGCUGGCUGCACAGUCUUCUCCUGUCUUUUGAUGGCACCUCUUAACAAAAACAUGAAAAGGAUGAACAUAAGCUCUUCCACUUCCAGUAACAGGACGGGCAUUUCUCAAGGCACAGUGACCAAGAUGAUACACACACCAGCGAACGGAAGAGUUGUUCAAGCAGUACUAUCUUCUACCUUGAACAGACAUGUUCAUAGCAAUGCUCUGAAAUAAAUCUAGUCCCAGUGAUUAUUUGCUUCAAAGUGAGGAAUAAGCCUUUUUUCUAUUUCUUUUGAAAAAUAUUGGAGACUAAAGAGAUAAUUUAGAACUUUUCU